GCAUGGUACAGGUGGGCAUGGUACAAGUGUACAGGUGGGCAUGGUACAAGUGUACAGGUGGGCAUGGUACAGGUGUACAGGUGGGCAUG